CGGUAAUUCCAGCUCCAAUAGCGUAUACUAAAGUUGUUGCAGUUAAAAAGCUCGUAGUUGGAUUUCUGCGGGGACGGAGCGGCCGGACGCAACUUGCGUCUCGAGCUAGCGCUUUCCCCGCAUCCUGCCGCGAACCGUGCUACCAUUAGCUUGGUGGCGCUGGGGAUCGGCUCGAUUACUUUGAGAAAAAUAGAGUGUUCAAAGCAGGCCACACGCCUUGAAUAAGUUAGCAUGGAAUAAUGACUAAGGACUUUGGUUCUUUUCGUUGGUGUUCGGGACUGAAGUAAUGAUUGAUAGGGACAGUUGGGGCGGUCUGUAUUCCAAAGCGAGAGGUGAAAUUCUUAGACCUUCGGAAGACAAACAGCUGCGAAAGCGUUCCGCAAGGAUGUUCCCUUUGAUCAAGAACGAAAGUUGGGGGAUCGAAGACGAUCAGAUACCGUCGUAGUCUCAACUAUAAACUAUACCAGCUAGGGAUCGGCCAACGUUUAAUUAUUCGACUUGGUCGGCACCUUAUGAGAAAUCAAAGCAUCUGGGUUCCGGGGGGAGUAUGGUCGCAAGGCUGAAACUUAAAGGAAUUGACGGAAGGGCAUCACCAGCCGUGGAGCCUGUGGCUUAAUUUGACUCAACACGGGAAAACUUACCAGGUCCAGACAUAGGAAGGAUUGACAGAUUGAUAGCUCUUUCUUGAUUCUGUGGGUGGUGGUGCAUGGCCGUUUUUAGUCGGUGGAUGUGAUCUGUCUGCUUAAUUGCGUUAACGGACGAGACCCCAGCCUGCUAAAUAGCGCGGCCGAGCUUUGCUCGGUGCGAGCUUCUUAGAGGGACCAUGAUGCGCGAUAGCACAAGGAAGUUUGGGGCAACAACAGGUCUGUGAUGCCCUUAGAUGUUCUGGGCCGCACACGGGCUACACUGGCGCCUGCAACGAGCAUAUCAGCUGGCCCGAGAGGGUCUUGGCUAAUCUUUGGAACCGGCGCCGUGCUUGGGAUUGACCAUUGCAAUUGUUGGUCAUGCAACGAGGAAUGCCUUGUAAACGCGAGUCAUCAGCUCGCAUUGAAUACGUCCCUGCCCUUUGUACACACCGCCCGUCGCUCCUACCGAUGAAUGUUCCGAUGAAAUUUUCGGAGAGCGCCGGAGAACGGGGCUCCGCCCUGCAGAACUGGAGGCUCAAAGUCACUUAAAUCUGAACAUUUCGAGGAAGGAGAAGUCGUAACAAGGUAGCCG
rnacentral:rRNA from 1 species